AAAAAUUAGUUUCAAUGGCUGAGGAUAGUGCAGGAUAAAAAAACAACAGCAUGUAAAUUUCGCCGUUCUCUGCGGAUUUACCUCCAGCCCACCUGUUAGACCCACAGUACAGCAGCUGCGUCUCCGUCCUCGGUAACAAUGCCUCUGCUUGCUCCUCUUUCUGCUUGUGAUUCUAGAAGUGUCCAUAGCAACUGGGUCUUGUUGGCGUAGGUCCCGAAAUCAGUUUCCAGCGAUUCAGCGCAGGGCUCUGGGUGGUGAGCUAACUGUCCUCCUGCUGCUAACACUGGGCAGUAAUGUCGCGGCUGGACCCGAGUGAAUAUCCGCCGAAUAUGCGAACUGAAACUAACUUCACCACAGUCCGUUGACCUGUCGCCUCUCCUGUGAAACUGGUUUCGUCUUUACAGAAAACGACUGUGAUUGGUGCUUUGCGGCCAGAGGAUUGUAGUCUUUGAACAGGCGCAGACAAAAUUCUAGAAUUGUGAUGACAGUGGCUGGUGUCAGUGGUGGAAGUUCUUUGACAGACACACAAUGGCACGGAUCCGUCACUUCUGUUGACCUUGCAACUACUGUGGUUAUUUUACAGCGCAUCUACAGUAAUUCAUCUAACAGUAUAAUAGCUUUUUUUGGAUUACAGUACAUGACGAUAACUGUGGGUUAUGGUAAUUUUACAGUAUAUGCCAGUGUUCUUUCAUUUCUGCAUUUGUAUAAAUCCCCACCAAUUUAAAAACAAAGUAUGCAGGGCUUCUCAAAUACCCAGCCCUAGGCUGCCACAUUCAUCCCAACAGCCAGUCAACAUCCAAAAGUCCUACAGUAAACACAUUAAUGUCUUA